GUGUUCCUGGUGGUAUUUGAUUGCUGGGCUUUGAACAUCCCACAGCUAUUUGAUCCACCAUAUUGCAGGCAAUGUAGUGAAGAAAAGCAGCAAACUCUGAAACAGUGUGACUUAAGGAUACACAUAUGAUCAAUGGAAAAGAAUUGAGAGUCCGGAAGUAAAAUCGUGUCUGUGGUCAAGUGGUUUCAACAAGGGUAAAAGGACCAUUCAAUGGGGGGAAAGAAUAGUAUUUUCAACAAACGGUGACGGGACAACUGGAGAGCCAUAUGCAAAAAACCAAGCUGGGCCCUCACCCAACAUCAUCAAGUAACGUCAGUAACGCGAAAUGGAACAAAGAACUAAACAUAAAAGCUAAAACUAUAAAGUUCUCGGAAGGGAACCAGGAAUAGAUCUUCAUAAUGUCAGAUUUGACAAUGGAUUCUUAGCUGUGACAGCAAAAGCACAGGUAACAAAAGGAAAAAUGAGUUGGACUUCAUGACAAGGGCAAAACGUGUGUGCCUCAGAAGUCACUAUCAAGAAGGUGAGAAGACAAGCCCUAGAGCAGGGCCAAGUAUUUGCAAAUCAGGCCUCCAGAGAGGACUGGUAUCUACAAGAACUCUUACAGGAUUUCCCCGGUGGGCCAGUGGUUAGGAGUCCGCCUGCCAAUGCGGGGGAUGUGGGUUCAAUUGCUGGUCCGGAAGGACCCCAAUACCUUGGAACAACUGAGCCGGUGCUCCACGCCAAGAGAAGCCCCUGCAACGAGAAGCCCACACACUGCAACUAGAGGGUAACCCCUGCUUGCCAUAGUUAGACAAAACCCGUGCACAGCAACGAAGACUUGGCACAGCAAAAAUGUUUUUUAAACUCUUAUAACUCAUUAAUUGAAAGAGACAAGCCAGUUUAAAAAUGGAUAAAAGAUCUGAAUAGAAAUUUUUCCAAGGAAGAUAUAUAAUAGCUAAUAAACACAUAAAAAAGACACUUGACAUCCUUAGUCAUCAGGAAAUGCAAAUCAAAACUACAGUAAGAUAUCAUGUCGCACCCACUAGGAGAGUUAUCAUCUAAAACUCAGAUAACAAGUGUUGGUGAGGAUGUGAAGAGACUAAACCCUCAGACAUUUGUUCUGGGAACGUGAAAUGGUACAGCCACUUUGGAAAGUAGUCGAGCAUAAAGAGCUAAACAUAGUCACCAUGUGACCCAGCAGUUCCACUCCCAGUCUGUAGGGAAGUGACAUUGAAGCUGAGACCUCACAGAUGAGACGGAGCUGGCCUUGCAAGGAGGAGGGAGCAUACAGCUGCGGUACAGACAGGGCCCGGCAGCACAUGUGAAGGCAGGGGCCGUAAAAACUUACCUGGACAGAGCAGCUGGUUCCCUCAGGGAAGCGGUUGGAAUGCAGGUGCAAUGUCUGGCACUCCAGCAGCAACUUUGGAUCAUGAUAUUGUGGAGAACUUGGGACUGGAAAUCACGCACAGUUAACAACAAGAAAGAAGAAAGUUUGGGGCUAUCUACAUUGCCCAACUUCAAGGAGCACCCUUUAUGUUGUAUACUAUGGUAAAUAGAAUACAGAAUACAAUAAGAAAGAUAUCCCCCAAAUUUGCAAAGCAACACCCUGGGGCCUGGGCCACUGAUUCUAGAGUGCCAAAUCAGCCUCAACCGUCUACCUCUGAUCAUCAUGCAAAUAAGAGAGAAACAAACUACAGUGUGAGCAACUCCUAUUUGAGGAUUUCCUGUUAUCUGCAGCUGAAUCUACCCGUAACAUCCCAGGUCUAAAACUUAGCCCAUGUCCUCCUUUCCUCUGCCCAAAUCCAUUUGUGCCCAGGAUGAGCAACUAUUGAUUCCUUUCAGGAGAAGCCCCACUUUACCCUUGACGGUGACCCAACACGACAACACACAGAAGUGGCAUAGCCAGGAUUCCCCCAAACUCCACCAAAGUCUGACUAAGUCUCUCUUGGGCUUAUCCUGUGUUUGAUGAUCUAUGGCCAACU